rnacentral:tRNA from 1 species
GAGGGUAGAGCUCAGUGGUAGAGCGCACGCUUAGCAUGCAUGAGGUCAUGAGUUCGAUCCCCAGUACCUUUG